rnacentral:rRNA from 1 species
UGGGGAAUAUUGGACAAUGGGCGCAAGCCUGAUCCAGCCAUGCCGCGUGAAGGAUGAAGUAUUUCGGUAUGUAAACUUCGAAAGAAUAGGAAGAAUAAAUGACGGUACUAUUUAUAAGGUCCGGCUAACUACGUGCCAGCAGCCGCGGUAAUACGAAGGGGGCUAGCGUUGUUCGGAAUUACUGGGCGUAAAGCGCACGUAGGCGGAUUGUUAAGUCAGAGGUGAAAUCCCGGAGCUCAACUUCGGAACUGCCUUUGAUACUGGCAAUCUAGAGUCCGGAAGAGGUUAGUGGAAUUCCCAGUGUAGAGGUGAAAUUCGUAGAUAUUGGGAAGAACACCAGUGGCGAAGGCGGCUAACUGGUCCGGUACUGACGCUGAGGUGCGAAAGCGUGGGGAGCAAACAGGAUUAGAUACCCCCGUAGUCCCUGAGCGGGCUGGCAAGGCGCAU